rnacentral:rRNA from 1 species
UACAGGGGGGGCAAGCGUUGUUCGGAAUUACUGGGCGUAAAGGGUCUGUAGGUGGCCAACUAAGUCAGACGUGAAAUCCCUCAGCUUAACUGGGGAACUGCGUCUGAUACUGGAUGGCUUGAGUGUGGGAGAGGAAUGCGGAAUUCCAGGUGUAGCGGUGAAAUGCGUAGAUAUCAGGAGGAACACCGGUGGCGAAGGCGGGUCUCUGGGCCGAUACUGACGCUGAGGAGCGAAAGCGUGGGGAGCGAACAGG